UACAGAGGCCCCAAGCGUUACUGAGAAUCACUGGGUUUAAAGGGUGCGUAGGUGGCGCGUUAAGUCCGUUGUGAAAGCCCUGGGCUCAACCCAGGAACUGCUUCGGAUACUGGCGCGCUUGAGGCUAGUAGAGGUCACUGGAACUGACGGUGGAGCGGUGAAAUGCGUAGAUAUCGCUUGGAACGCCAAAGGUGAAAACAGGUUGCUGGGGUUGUGCCGACGCUGAGACACGAAAGCCAGGGGAGCAAACGGG
rnacentral:rRNA from 1 species